rnacentral:rRNA from 1 species
UACGGAGGGUGCGAACGUUAAUCGGAAUCACUGGGCGUAAAGCGCGCGUAGGCGGUUCGUUAAGUGGGAUGUGAAAUCCCCGGGCUUAACCUGGGAAUUGCAUUUCAAACUGGCCGACUAGAGUACGGUAGAGGGAGGUAGAAUUUCCUGUGUAGCGGUGAAAUGCGUAGAUAUAGGAAGGAAUACCAGUGGCGAAGGCGGCCUCCUGGAUCGAUACUGACGCUGAGGCGCGAAAGCGUGGGGGAGCAAACAGG